rnacentral:rRNA from 1 species
RGUUUGAUUMUGGCUCAGAUUGAACGCUGGCGGCAUGCCUUACACAUGCAAGUCGAACGGCAGCACGGGGGCAACCCUGGUGGCGAGUGGCGAACGGGUGAGUAAUACAUCGGAACGUGUCCUGUAGUGGGGGAUAGCCCGGCGAAAGCCGGAUUAAUACCGCAUACGAUCUACGGAGGAAAGCGGGGGAUCUUCGGACCUCGCGCUAUAGGGGCGGCCGAUGGCAGAUUAGCUAGUUGGUGGGGUAAAGGCCUACCAAGGCGACGAUCUGUAGCUGGUCUGAGAGGACGACCAGCCACACUGGGACUGAGACACGGCCCAGACUCCUACGGGAGGCAGCAGUGGGGAAUUUUGGACAAUGGGGGCAACCCUGAUCCAGCAAUGCCGCGUGUGUGAAGAAGGCCUUCGGGUUGUAAAGCACUUUUGUCCGGAAAGAAAACUUCGUCCCUAAUAUGGAUGGAGGAUGACGGUACCGGAAGAAUAAGCACCGGCUAACUACGUGCCAGCAGCCGCGGUAAUACGUAGGGUGCGAGCGUUAAUCGGAAUUACUGGGCGUAAAGCGUGCGCAGGCGGUCUGUUAAGACCGAUGUGAAAUCCCCGGGCUUAACCUGGGAACUGCAUUGGUGACUGGCAGGCUUGAGUGUGGCAGAGGGGGGUAGAAUUCCACGUGUAGCAGUGAAAUGCGUAGAGAUGUGGAGGAAUACCGAUGGCGAAGGCAG